UCAUCACAAAAGGGCUGUGAUGGAUACCAGUUGGCUGAGCCUGUGAUGCUGGAGGGAGCACCAGGCCCCUCUUCAACAGGAUGUGGGAAGGUGCCUCUCACCACAAAUUGAGUUCUCAGGGCAGAAGCCGGCCGCUGCAGACCAGGCAAAGGCAUAGGUUGGAGGAGCGGGCAGCGGAAGCAGUGGUAGUGGCCCUGAUUGUGACAACCCCUUGCAUUUUUGUCAGUGACUUGUGAAGGUGGAGAGGGAACUGCAGACAAGCCCAGCCUCACGUUGCAAGUUGCUGAGAUGAGCAAGGAGCCAGGACAAGACAUAGUGGGUGUAGGACUCUGGCCAGAACAUCCUGAUUGACUUUGCAGCAUUGCAGGCAAUCUGGAAAGGGGAACAAACAACUAAGACAGAUCAACUAUACUUCAAUAAAAAACAAGUUUGAAAAAAAGAUGCAGAAGAAGAGAAGACAAGAGAAGAGGAGAAGGCCAGUGAAGGUAGAGGCAGAGCUUGGAGUGAUUCAGCCACAAGCCAAAGAAUGCUGGGAGCUACCAGAAGCUGGAAGGGGCAAACACUGGAUUCUCCUCAAGAGCUUUUGGAGGGAGCAUGGCCUUGUUGACACCUUGGUUUCAGAAGUCUGGCCUCCGGAACUGUGAGAGA